rnacentral:misc_RNA from 1 species
UCCGGUUUGGCACCGGCAGUCUUCCUAGAGUCCCCGCCAUUACGCGCUGGCAACAUGCGACGGGGGUUGCGCUCGUUGCGGGACUUAACCCAACAUCUCACGACACGAGCUGACGACAGCCAUGCACCACCUGUGAAAGUGCCCCGAAGGGAGACCGUGUUUCCACGGCUGUCACUCACAUGUCAAACCCAGGUAAGGUUCUUCGCGUUGCGUCGAAUUAAACCACAUGCUCCGCUGCUUGUGCGGGUCCCCGUCAAUUCCUUUGAGUUUUAGCCUUGCGGCCGUACUCCCCAGGCGGGCCACUUAAUGCGUUAGCGCCGGCACGGGGGGAGUCGACACCCCCCACACCUAGUGGCCAUCGUUUACGGCGUGGACUAC